UACAGAGGUCCCAAGCGUUGUUCGGAUUCACUGGGCGUAAAGGGUGCGUAGGUGGUGAAGUAAGUCGGAUGUGAAAUCUCGGAGCUUAACUCCGAAACUGCAUUGGAAACUACUUUGCUCGAGGGUUGGAGGGGGGACUGGAAUUCUCGGUGUAGCAGUGAAAUGCGUAGAUAUCGAGAGGAACACCAGUGGCGAAGGCGAGUCCCUGGACAACUCCUGACACUGAGGCACGAAAGCUAGGGGAGCAAACAGG
rnacentral:rRNA from 1 species